CCUACGGGUGGCAGCAGUGGGGAAUAUUGCACAAUGGGCGCAAGCCUGAUGCAGCCAUGCCGCGUGUGUGAAGAAGGCCUUCGGGUUGUAAAGCACUUUCAGCGGGGAGGAAGGCGUUAAGGUUAAUAACCUUGUCGAUUGACGUUACCUGCAGAAGAAGCACCGGCUAACUCCGUGCCAGCAGCCGCGGUAAUACGGAGGGUGCAAGCGUUAAUCGGAAUUACUGGGCGUAAAGCGCACGCAGGCGGUCUGUCAAGUCGGAUGUGAAAUCCCCGGGCUCAACCUGGGAACUGCAUUCGAAACUGGCAGGCUAGAGUCUUGUAGAGGGGGGUAGAAUUCCAGGUGUAGCGGUGAAAUGCGUAGAGAUCUGGAGGAAUACCGGUGGCGAAGGCGGCCCCCUGGACAAAGACUGACGCUCAGGUGCGAAAACGUGGGGAGCAAACAGGAUUAGAUACCCCAGUAGUC
rnacentral:rRNA from 1 species